rnacentral:rRNA from 1 species
UACGGAGGAUGCGAGCGUUAUCCGGAUUUAUUGGGUUUAAAGGGUGCGUAGGCGGGUUUGUAAGUCAGCGGUGAAAGACUGUCGCUUAACGAUAGCAUUGCCAUUGAUACUGCAGAUCUUGAGUACAGUUGAGGUAGGCGGAAUGAGUAGUGUAGCGGUGAAAUGCUUAGAUAUUACUCAGAACACCAAUUGCGAAGGCAGCUUACUAAAGUGUCACUGACGCUGAGGCACGAAAGCGUGGGGAUCAAACAGG